rnacentral:rRNA from 1 species
GAAGCCUACGGGGGGCAGCAGUGAGGAAUAUUGGUCAAUGGUCGGGAGACUGAACCAGCCAAGCCGCGUGAGGGAUGAAGGUACAGAGUAUCGUAAACCUCUUUUGUCAGGGAACAAAGGCGGGGACGUGUCCCCGGAUGAGUGUACCUGAAGAAAAAGCAUCGGCUAACUCCGUGCCAGCAGCCGCGGUAAUACGGAGGAUGCGAGCGUUAUCCGGAUUUAUUGGGUUUAAAGGGUGCGCAGGCGGGCUGUUAAGGCAGCGGGCAAAGCCCGGGGCUCAACCCCGGGCCGCCGUUGAAACUGGG